rnacentral:rRNA from 1 species
AUACGGAGGGCGCGAGCGUUAAUCGGAAUUACUGGGCGUAAAGCGUACGUAGGCGGUUGGUUAAGUUAGAUGUGAAAGCCCCGGGCUUAACCUGGGAACUGCAUUUAAAACUGGCGAACUAGAGUUGAGUAGAGGGGAGUGGAAUUUCAGGUGUAGCGGUGAAAUGCGUAGAGAUCUGAAGGAACACCAGUGGCGAAGGCGACUCCCUGGACUCGAACUGACGCUGAGGUACGAAAGCGUGGGUAGCAAACGGGAUUAGAAACCCCAGUAGUCC